UACGAAGGGGGCUAGCGUUGUUCGGAAUUACUGGGCGUAAAGCGCACGUAGGCGGACUACUAAGUCAGGGGUGAAAUCCCGGGGCUCAACCCCGGAACUGCCUUUGAUACUGAUAGUCUCGAGUCCGGAAGAGGUGAGUGGAAUUCCGAGUGUAGAGGUGAAAUUCGUAGAUAUUCGGGGGAACACCAGUGGCGAAGGCGGCUCACUGGCCCGGUACUGACGCUGAGGUGCGAAAGCGUGGGGGAGCAAACAGG
rnacentral:rRNA from 1 species